ensembl:antisense Gm15461 predicted gene 15461
AGAAAGGAAGGAGGCCAGACAGGUCUGAGCAGAGGCAGUUGGAGCAGGAAUACAUACACCCCAUACAAGAACACAGCAGCCUUGGAGAUAAGCCGUGAAGAUGUCAACACCCAACUUUGCAUUUGCUUUCAGUCAGUAGAUGCACAGUUUUCAAAAGAAGAGUCCCAGAGCAGGAAUGGAACUUGUGAGGGAAAAUUGUUAUUUGUAAGGUGGCAAGAAUAAAUAUUUAAUUAGA